AAAUGAAUUGACGGGGGCCCGCACAAGCAGUGGAGUAUGUGGUUUAAUUCGAAGAUACGCGAAAAACCUUACCAGGGCUUGACAUCCUCAGAAUCCUUUGGAAACAAAGGAGUGCCUUCGGGAACUGAGUGACAGGUGGUGCAUGGUUGUCGUCAGCUCGUGUCGUGAGAUGUUGGGUUAAGUCCCGCAACGAGCGCAACCCCUAUGGUUAGUUGCUAAUGCGUAAUGGCAAGCACUCUAACAAGACUGCCGUUGACAAAACGGAGGAAGGUGGGGACGACGUCAAAUCAUCAUGCCCCUUAUGUCCUGGGCUACACACGUACUACAAUGGCCGUUAACAAUGGGUAGCAAUAUCGCAAGGUGGAGCCAAUCCCCAAAAACGGUCUCAGUUCGGAUUGUGGGCUGAAAUUCGCCCACAUGAAGUUGGAAUUGCUAGUAAUCGCGAAUCAGCAUGUCGCGGUGAAUACGUUCCCGGGCCUUGUACACACCGCCCGU
rnacentral:rRNA from 1 species